rnacentral:rRNA from 1 species
UGUGCCAGCAGCCGCGGUAAUACGUAGGGGGCAAGCGUUGUCCGGAAUUAUUGGGCGUAAAGCGCGCGCAGGCGGCUUCUUAAGUCAGGUGUGAAAGCCCACGGCUCAACCGUGGAGGGCCACUUGAAACUGGGAAGCUUGAGUGCAGGAGAGGAGAGCGGAAUUCCACGUGUAGCGGUGAAAUGCGUAGAGAUGUGGAGGAACACCCGUGGCGAAGGCGGCUCUCUGGCCUGUAACUGACGCUGAGGCGCGAAAGCGUGGGGAGCGAACAGGAUUAGAAACCCCAGUAGUCC